GCACUUUUUUAUUUUAGUACUCUGUGGUUUAAAGUGUAUCAAGUUAGUACCUUGUGGUUUCGCACUUUUUCACUUUAGUACCCUGUGGUUUCAAGUGUAUCAAGUUAGUACUCUGUGAUUUUAUUUUUGUAUCAAGUUAGUACUCUGUGGUUUUAUUUUUGUAUUAAGUUAGUACCAUGUGGUUUUAUUUUUCUCCAAAUGAAAUAUUAAACUACAGGGUACUAAAGUGAGAAAGUGCGAAACCACAGGGUACUAACUUGAUACACUUUAAACCAUAAGAUACUAAAGUAAGAAAAA
rnacentral:lncRNA from 1 species